CACGUAGGGCGCUAGCGUUGUCCGGAAUCACUGGGCGUAAAGGGUGCGUAGGCGGGUCUUUAAGUCAGGGGUGAAAUCCUGGAGCUCAACUCCAGAACUGCCUUUGAUACUGAGGAUCUUGAGUUCGGGAGAGGUGAGUGGAACUGCGAGUGUAGAGGUGAAAUUCGUAGAUAUUCGCAAGAACACCAGUGGCGAAGGCGGCUCACUGGCCCGAUACUGACGCUGAGGCACGAAAGCGUGGGGAGCAAACAGG
rnacentral:rRNA from 1 species